ensembl:lncRNA
GGGGAACUAUUUGGCCUAUUCUUGUAAAGUAAUUGGCCAGUCAACUGAAUGACAGUAUGUUGUAUCAACUAGGACUACAGUUUGGAAGUGCUUAACUAAUUAUCACAUCCAUCACCUUCUAACAAUGUAGCACUCAUUACUGGAUAUACAGCAUCUGGAGGUGAUGAAGCUAACAGCACAACUUCUUUAUGAUGAAUGUAUCACAGACUUCACAGGUUCACUCCUUUGGGUGAUAGCCAGUUCAAGAAUCCAUCAUUGGGUUCACAAGCAGAUGGAUUGCAAUGUGUGUAAAAUGUAAACUUUGUACAAUUGCCAUUGUAAACUGACAUGGCUCUAUUUUUGUGGCAGCCCGACAUGUUGCACAGAAAAAGCUCUGAAUGGUUUUUUUGGGUUUUUAUUUAUUUAUUUAUUUUUGCCUCUUUUUAGAGGAUGUCUCAGAAUUCUGAAUAUGUUUUUCUCUGGCUAAUGUGUAUUUUUUCCAACCAGAAUAAGCUAAAUAUUCAUAGCAAUGCACAACAUUAAUUAAAAUAUUUCAAAUGUAAAUAAGUCAUUUUCACUAAUCUCUCCCUAGACGGUACAAAUAAUUGAGCAGGCAUAAAAAUGCCUUUGUGCUUGUAGUUGGAAUGUCUUUAACAUUGUCCAUAUUUAAUGAAUUUCUGUCAUCAUUCUACAAGCAAAACCAAACCCUCUGCCUCUGAUGGUAGACUAAGGUGCUAAUGUUACUCCAUUAUGGACCAUUCAGACAAUAGAUUCUUGUUCUGCAGAAAGAACUUUCUAUAUGUCGAGCUAUAUUAAAGUAUUUAUUUUCUAAUUUGUUCAUGGCUAUAUCCCCUAAUUUAUAUUCUGCAUGGCCUUUUUAGACUUAAACAACCAAAAUAGCAGGUGCACAUACGCCUGGGCGCAGUUAAAGGCCAUGUGCACAUAAGGCCUAUUGCUUUGCAAUUGUUGUUGCCCUUGUGUGACUGGAAUUGAGCCUGUGUUAAUCCACCUGUGACAGGCCAGGUUCUUCUCCUAUUGCCUGUGUGGAUGAGUGUGUGAGCUCUUUCUUUUGCAGGUUUUUGGUUGGAUAGAGCAGGGCUGCAAUCACAGGACUCAAAACAGCUGCUUUAUAUUCACCAUUCAGGCUGUGCUUCAAGUUACUGCCUGUUUUUUAUUUUAUUUUAUUUUUUUAUAUAUUUUGAUUUGAUUUCCAAUUGCUAUUGCUGACCUUUUCUAAUCCCUGUAUAUGCACUUACUUGACUGGAGUCAUCCCAAAUUAUGGGUAAUCCAAUAUUUUCUGGUAAGCCACUAAAUAUUUUCUUUGUUAACAUGUUAAUUGUGGUUUUGUUCAAAUUUAGGAACAAAUCCUGAAUACAUGAAAAAAGAAAGAUUUAAUUACAGGUGGAAAAAGCAAACAAAAAAAUCAAAGCACCAUCCACAAAAAGGAUUCCCAAACUGCAGAAGAAAAGAAAGUGGGGAAACACUUAAUAACGGAGGUAAGACAAUGGGU